GACGUAGGGCGCGAGCGUUGUCCGGAUUUACUGGGCGUAAAGGGCUCGUAGGUGGCCAACUAAGUCAGACGUGAAAUCCCCAGGCUCAACUUGGGAACUGCGUCUGAUACUGGAUGGCUUGAAUCCGGGAGAGGGAUGCAGAAUUCCAGGUGUAGCGGUGAAAUGCGUAGAUAUCUGGAGGAAUACCGGUGGCGAAGGCGGCAUCCUGGACCGGGAUUGACACUGAGGAGCGAAAGCUAGGGGAGCAAACGGG
rnacentral:rRNA from 1 species